rnacentral:rRNA from 1 species
CCUACGGGAGGCAGCAGUGGGGAAUUUUGGACAAUGGGCGAAAGCCUGAUCCAGCCAUGCCGCGUGCAGGAUGAAGGCCUUCGGGUUGUAAACUGCUUUUGUACGGAACGAAAAGGUCUUUUCUAAUAAAGAGGGCCCAUGACGGUACCGUAAGAAUAAGCACCGGCUAACUACGUGCCAGCAGCCGCGGUAAUACGUAGGGUGCAAGCGUUAAUCGGAAUUACUGGGCGUAAAGCGUGCGCAGGCGGUUAUAUAAGACAGUUGUGAAAUCCCCGGGCUCAACCUGGGAACUGCAUCUGUGACUGUAUAGCUAGAGUACGGUAGAGGGGGAUGGAAUUCCGCGUGUAGCAGUGAAAUGCGUAGAUAUGCGGAGGAACACCGAUGGCGAAGGCAAUCCCCUGGACCUGUACUGACGCUCAUGCACGAAAGCGUGGGGAGCAAACAGGAUUAGAUACCCUGGUAGUCCACGCCCUAAACGAUGUCAACUGGUUGUUGGGUCUUCACUGACUCAGUAACGAAGCUAACGCGUGAAGUUGACCGCCUGGGGAGGUACGGCCGCGAGUAGAACGUACGAAGAAGUUAGUACGCGUGAGACGUAGCCGACGGACGACGACGAGGGAGGUUAGG